rnacentral:rRNA from 1 species
CUACGGGUUGCUCCAGUGAGGAAUAUUGCACAAUGGGGGGAACCCUGAUGCAGCAACGCCGCGUGGAGGAUGACGCAUUUCGGUGUGUAAACUCCUUUUAUAUGUCAAGAAAAUGACGGUAGCAUAUGAAUAAGCACCGGCUAACUCCGUGCCAGCAGCCGCGGUAAUACGGGGGGUGCAAGCGUUACUCGGAAUCACUGGGCGUAAAGGACGCGUAGGCGGGUUGGAAAGUCAGGUGUGAAAUCCUACAGCUUAACUGUAGAACUGCACUUGAAACUUCUAAUCUAGGGUACGGGAGGGGGAGAUGGAAUUAGUGGUGGAGGGGUAAAAUCCGUAGAUAUCACUAGGAAUACCUAAAGCGAAGGCGAUCUCCUGGAACAUUACUGACGCUAAGGCGUGAAAGCGUGGGGAGCAAACAGGAUUAGAUACCCCAGUAGUC